AUUGAACGCUGGCGGCAUGCUUUACACAUGCAAGUCGAACGGUAACAGGCCGCAAGGUUCUGCCGAGGGGCGGACGGGUGCGUAAUGCAUCGGAACGUGCCCAGUCGUGGGGGUUAACUACUCGAAAGAGUAGCUAAUACCGCAUACGAUCUCUGGCUGAAAGCGGGGGAACGCAAGGCCUCGCCCGAUUGUACCGGCCGAUGUCAGAUUAGGUAGUUGGUGGGGUAAAGGCUCACCAAGGCAACGAUCUGUAGCUGGUCUGAGAGGACGACCAGCCACACUGGAACUGAGACACGGCCCAGACUCCUACGGGAGGCAGCAGUGGGGAAUUUUGGACAAUGGGCGCAAGCCUGAUCCAGCAAUGCCGCGUGCAGGAAGAAGGCCUUCGGGUUGUAAACUGCUUUUGUACGGAACGAAACGGCUCUGGUUAAUACCCGGGGCUAAUGACGGUACCGUAAGAAUAAGCACCGGCUAACUACGUG
rnacentral:rRNA from 1 species